AGAGUUUGAUCAUGGCUCAGGAUGAACGCUAGCGACAGGCUUAACACAUGCAAGUCGGAGGGGCAGCAUGAUUUGUAGCAAUACAGAUUGAUGGCGACCGGCGCACGGGUGAGUAACGCGUAUGCAACUUACCUAUCAGGAGGGGAUAGCCCGGCGAAAGUCGGAUUAACUACCCCAAUAAAACGAGGGGCCCCGCAGUGGGAAUUAUUUGUUAAAGAUUCAUCGCUGAUAGAUAGGCAUGCGUUCCAUUAGGCAGUUGGCGGGGUAACGGCCCACCAAACCGACGAUGGAUAGGGGUUCUGAGAGGAAGGUCCCCCACAUUGGUACUGAGACACGGACCAAACUCCUACGGGAGGCAGCA
rnacentral:rRNA from 1 species